rnacentral:rRNA from 1 species
AUUGAACGCUGGCGGCAGGCCUAACACAUGCAAGUCGAACGGUAGCACAGAGAGCUUGCUCUCGGGUGACGAGUGGCGGACGGGUGAGUAACGUCUGGGAAACUGCCCGAUGGAGGGGGAUAACUACUGGAAACGGUAGCUAAUACCGCAUAACGUCGCAAGACCAAAGUGGGGGACCUUCGGGCCUCACACCAUCGGAUGUGCCUGGAUGGGAUUAGCUAGUAGGUGGGGUAAUGGCUCACCUAGGCGACGAUCCCUAGCUGGUCUGAGAGGAUGACCAGCCACACUGGAACUGAGACACGGUCCAGACUCCUACGGGAGGCAGCAGUGGGGAAUAUUGCACAAUGGGCGCAAGCCUGAUGCAGCCAUGCCGCGUGUAUGAAGAAGGCCUUCGGGUUGUAAAGUACUUUCAGCGGGGAGGAAGGCGGUGAAGUUAAUAGCUUCACCGAUUGACGUUACCCGCAGAAGAAGCACCGGCUAACUCCGUGCCAGCAGCCGCAGUAA